rnacentral:rRNA from 1 species
UACGUAGGCAGCGAGCGUUGUUCGGAUUUAUUGGGCGUAAAGGGUGCGCAGGCUGCAUGGUAAGUUUGGUGUGAAAUCCUGGAGCUUAACUCCAGAAUUGCACUGAAUACUGCCGUGCUAGAGGACUGGAGAGGAGAUUGGAAUUCACGGUGUAGCAGUGAAAUGCGUAGAUAUCGUGAGGAAGACCAGUGGCGAAGGCGAAUCUCUGGACAGUUCCUGACGCUCAUGCACGAAGGCCAGGGGAGCAAACGGG